GCGCAGUACAGCCUGAGGGGGAGGAGAGCAAAAAAGCCUUUUCAGAACUUAACCCUUUGCAAAAUUAUAACGGAGGCCUGCAUGCAGAACUUCCCUGGCAAGAAGGUAGCUGAUAUUGAGGAGUGCAUUGGGCAUGCACUGAAGUUUGCACCACACAGACGGUCAGCUGGUCCUCAAGAUUGAAGACGUACACCAACUUCUAUGCACACGCACCCGUUUUUGGCA